rnacentral:rRNA from 1 species
UAGGGAAUCUUCGGCAAUGGACGGAAGUCUGACCGAGCAACGCCGCGUGAGUGAAGAAGGUUUUCGGAUCGUAAAGCUCUGUUGUUAGAGAAGAACGUUGGUAGGAGUGGAAGAUCUACCAAGUGACGGUAACUAACCAGAAAGGGACGGCUAACUACGUGCCAGCAGCCGCGGUAAUACGUAGGUCCCGAGCGUUGUCCGGAGUUAUUGGGCGUAAAGCGAGCGCAGGCGGUUCUUUAAGUCUGAAGUUAAAGGCAGUGGCUUAACCAUUGUACGCUUUGGAAACUGGAGGACUUGAGUGCAGAAGGGGAGAGUGGAAUUCCAUGUGUAGCGGUGAAAUGCGUAGAUAUAUGGAGGAACACCGGUGGCGAACGCGGCUCUCUGGUCUGUAACUGACGCUGAGGCUCGAAAGCGUGGGGAGCAAACAGG